rnacentral:rRNA from 1 species
UACGUAGGGUGCGAGCGUUGUCCGGAAUUACUGGGCGUAAAGCGCACGUAGGUGGUUUGUUAAGUUGAAUGUGAAAUCCCCGGGCUCAACCUGGGAACUGCAUCCAUAACUGGCAAGCUAGAGUAGGGCAGAGGGUGGUGGAAUUUCCUGUGUAGCGGUGAAAUGCGUAGAUAUAGGAAGGAACACCAGUGGCGAAGGCGACCACCUGGGCUCAUACUGACACUGAGGUGCGAAAGCGUGGGGAGCAAACAGG